rnacentral:rRNA from 1 species
AUUCCAGCUCCAAUAGCGUAUAUUAAAGUUGUUGUGGUUAAAAAGCUCGUAGUUGGAUCUCGGCGGUCUGAGGGCGGUUCGCUUCAGAGCGCUACUGCCCUAUAGACCGUAGUUUUGCCAGAGGUCUCAGGGUGCUCUUAACCGAGUGUCUUGCGAUGCUGGCAGGUUUACUUUGAAAAAAUUAGAGUGCUCAAAGCAGGCUUUUACGCCUGAAUAUUCGUGCAUGGAAUAAUAGAAUAGGAAGUCGUUUCUAUUUUGUUGGUUUUCGGAAAUCGACUUAAUGAUUAAUAGGGACAGUUGGGGGCAUCCAUAUUUCAUUGUCAGAGGUGAAAUUCUUGGAUUUAUGAAAGAUGAACUUCUGCGAAAGCAUUUGCCAAGGAUGUUUUCAUCA